UUUAUGGAGAGUUUGAUCCUGGCUCAGGAUGAACGCUGGCGGCGUGCCUAAUACAUGCAAGUCGAGCGAACGGAUG
rnacentral:rRNA from 1 species